rnacentral:rRNA from 1 species
ACUCAAAUGAAUUGACGGGGACCCGCACAAGCAGCGGAGCGUGUGGUUUAAUUCGAAGCAACGCGAAGAACCUUACCAGGGUUUGACAUGAACAGGAAGUCUCGUGAAAACGAGGUCCCUGCGGGGUCUGUUCACAGGUGCUGCAUGGCUGUCGUCAGCUCGUGCCGUGAGGUGUUGGGUUAAGUCCCGCAACGAGCGCAACCCUUACCGUUAGUUGAAGCUAUCUAACGGAACUGCCAUCUAACGAUGGAGGAAGGUGGGGAUGACGUCAAGUCAGCACGGCCCUUACAUCCUGGGCGACACACACGCUACAAUGGCCGAGACAAUGGGGAGCCAACCCGCGAGGGGGAGCCAAUCUCACAAACUCGGUCUCAGUUCGGAUUGCAGGCUGCAACCCGCCUGCAUGAAGUUGGAGUUGCUAGUAACCGUGGGUCAGCACACCACGGUGAAUACGUUCCCGGGUCUUGUACACACCGCCCGU